AUCCAGUUGAAGAGUCCCAAAUAGGACGAAACGUGCAUCUAGGAU
rnacentral:hammerhead_ribozyme from 1 species